UCCGGUUGAUCCUGCCGGAGGUUACUGCUAUCGAGGUUCGACUAAGCCAUGCGAGUCAAAUGUAGCAAUACAUGGCGUACUGCUCAGUAACACGUGGACAACCUACCCUCCGGACGGGUAUAAACCCGGGAAACUGGGUAUAAUCCCCGAUAGAUCUCGGUCGCUGGAAAGCCCCGAGAUCGAAAGCUCCGGCGCCAGAGGAUGGGUCUGCGGCCUAUCAGGUAGUAGUGGGUGUAGCGUACCUACUAGCCUACGACGGGUACGGGUUGUGAGAGCAAGAGCCCGGAGAUGGAUUCUGAGACACGAAUCCAGGCCCUACGGGGUGCAGCAGGCGCGAAAACUUUACAAUGCCGGCAACGGCGAUAAGGGGACCUCGAGUGCCAGGUUACAAAUCUGGCUGUCGUGAUGCCUAAAAAGCAUUGCAUAGCAAGGGCCGGGCAAGACCGGUGCCAGCCGCCGCGGCAACACCGGCGGCUCGAGUGGUAACCGUUAUUAUUGGGUCUAAAGGGUCUGUAGCCGGCCGGAUAAGUCUCUUGAGAAAUCCAGCAGCUCAACUGUUGGGCUUUCAGGAGAUACUGUCUGGCUCGAGGCCGGGAGAGGUGAGAGGUACUUCAGGGGUAGGGGUGAAAUCUUGUAAUCCUUGAAGGACCACCAGUGGCGAAGGCGUCUCACCAGAACGGACCUGACGGCAAGGGACGAAAGCUAGGGGCACGAACCGGAUUAGAUACCCGGGUAGUCCUAGCCGUAAACGAUACUCGCUAGGUGUCGGCCACGGUGCGACCGUUGUCGGUGCCGUAGGGAAGCCGUGAAGCGAGCCACCUGGGAAGUACGGCCGCAAGGCUGAAACUUAAAGGAAUUGGCGGGGGAGCACCACAACGGGUGGAGCUUGCGGUUUAAUUGGAUUCAACGCCGGAA
rnacentral:rRNA from 1 species